CCGCUGGCAGCUUCCAGGAAGUGUAUUGUAGCAACAGGGCAGAAAAAAGGGAAGCUGUGAAAGUAACAGGGUUAAUUAAUGAAGAAGUGAGAAACAUGGCGGUGAAUGGAUGGAAGCAGCGGCCGCUGAGCAUCGUUCACUGCUGACUACGGACUCGAGGAGCUUCUGGAGGCCGUCAUGUGAUCCUCUUAUAGAAGCAGCAGCUUGAAUUCUUCACAUCCAAGUGGGUCCCGAGUUUUACACAAGCGCUGCCUUUUCCAAAGCGCCUGCUCUGAAGCUGGAGGUGCUGUCGCCUCCACGUCUGACUGCUUGUGUCCGUUUCAGGCCCUCAUCAGCGCUUGUGCUGCGGGUCUUAAAGGGAAGUAGAUCCUACCAUUUAAUCUGGCGUGUUACUGCUGAUGCCAGGGGAUGUGAGUGGCCUCGCCGGUGGAGGACCCUCUCCCACCAUCUGGAGGCAUCUGGCUGAAGGAACGGGUCUGCGAUGGACGACGAGCAGCUGCACAUCUACAAUCUGCAGGAGGACCAUUUCCUCCUCAGUGAGUCACUCCUUUUACAAAAAGUCAGAAUAAACCUCAAAGUGAGAUCACCCAUUCUGAGGCGCUGACCUUUUAGCCCUGCUUCCGUCACAGAAUCCUGUGCUGAUCAGGCGGAGGCUGUGUCUUGUUAACAGCCUGUUACCUGGUGGAUGAGUCACGUCAGCAGCUUUUGACUUUUGAAGCCGAGGCUCCACGUGAACCUUCAGAGAACCACAGCUCGGACUCCUCCUUGCUGUUUGGACUGACCUGGGGUCAGCGGGGGCGUGAUCACAGCCAGCGUCUCCCAGGUGAAUGAAGCGCCACACUCGAUGUUGUGUCCCGGGAUGGAUUUACUUUUGCAGCUUCUGAUAUUGUCUUUCGUGCUAUUCUUACCUUUUGCUUAUAUUCCCCUGUACUUCAUAUUUUAUUUUUAUUUCAGCAGCCUUUGAAAUAACCUUGUUGAUCUACGUAUGAGGUGAACCCUGU
rnacentral:lncRNA from 1 species